UGAAAUUUAAUCAGUUGUAUUGUAUUUACAAAGCGCCGUAAAAUAUUGAUCAGAUUUUUUUAACUAUUUUUAUAUAACUAUGAAGAACAGCGAGGGAUAACAAUUCAGUAUAUAACGCAAACGCAUUAAAGUUACUAAUUUCGGCGACAUAUACCGGUAGUUUUAGUCAAAAUGUCAGAUUUUUUAUAUAUCUCGUAGGUAGUGCC
rnacentral:lncRNA from 1 species